rnacentral:rRNA from 1 species
AUACGGAGGCUGCAAGCGUUACUCGGAAUCACUGGGCGUAAAGCGCGCGCAGGCGGCUUGAUAAGUUGGAUGUGAAAGCCUACGGCUCAACCGUAGAACUGCAUCCAAAACUGUCAGGCUAGAGUGUGGGAGAGGAAGAUGGAAUUAGUUGUGUAGGGGUAAAAUCCGUAGAGAUAACUAGGAAUGCCAAAAGCGAAGGAAAUCUUCUGGAACACUACUGACGCUGAGGCGCGAAGGCGUGGGGAGCAAACAGGAUUAGAAACCCGAGUAGUCC